GAAGAAAAUAGGUUAAUUUUUUGCUUCUAACAAAUAAAUUUUUCAAUUCGAUUUUGGAAUUUCUUUG
rnacentral:tRNA from 1 species